GUGGAUCAUCUGGGGCAUGUCCCUUACUGCCUGUGUUUUUGGGAGGCUGAGCUCACCCUGUAAAAGUGCCCCAUCCCCUCGCCUCGGGCAGCUUUGCUGCGCUAGCAUUGUCAUUAAGGUGGGAACUCAGGGCUCCACCGCAGGUGGCCCCCUUCCCUGGCCCAAGGAGCCCUCGCUCUGGGUCAGCCCAGAGGGUAGCUGCGGGGCCCCCUUGAGAUCCCCCGAGGUACUUCCGAGACAUUCUUUUAAUCCAUCUCUUUCCUACUUCACUCAGCCUCUGGUGGUUUACGCUGCUAACAGCUAAAAGACCUGAUUGUUGUGGGUGGACAGUUUUUUUUUUUAAAAAACAAGGAUGUGUGUUCCACAAAAUCUAAAGAUGGACAGUAAUGUUCCCUCCUCCGCGGCAGGACCUUGGGGGCUGGAGAAAUGACAGAUGAGGCUGAAACCUGGGAGAUUCUUAUCCCUUCUUCAUUGGGUUUGUGGUGUGUAAUAGGACAUUCUCCUAUGAAGUUUGAAGACACCACCGAUCUGCUUCCUGUCACCAUAGUUUGCAUGUUCAGAAUUUCGUGGAAGUGGAAACAGACCAUGUGUAUUCUGUUCUGUCUAGUUUCUUUUACAUAUUGUAAUGAUUUUGAAAUUCAUUCGUGUUGGUUUUGUUUCAAUUUUUUUUUAUUCCUUUUUGUUUCUGUGUAGUAUUCCAUCGUGUGGAGGUACCACAGUGGUUUUAUUCAUUCACACAGAUGAGCAUUUGGGUUGUUUCUAGCUUUUGGCUAUUAUAAAUAGUUGCUAUGAACAUUCUUCUUCAAGUCUUUGUAUGUACAUACGUUUUUAUUUCUUGAGUAAAUACUUAGGAGAGGAAUUCCUAGACUGUAUGGUAGGCAUAGAUUUAAUAUUUUAAGGAACUGCCCAUCUAUUUUCCAAACACUGUACCAUAGCUCCCUUGUCCAUCAAGUUCGUGUGGCUUGCCUUUUUGUUUCAGCGACUUUAUUUGGUGUGUUUAUAUUUCAUUCACCUAUUGCCCAUUCAUAUGUCUUCUUUAGUGAGGUUUCUCUUCAUUAUUUUUUGCCCAUUUAAAAAACUGUCCUUGUCUCCUCAUUCUGAUAAAUGUUCUUGGCUGAUGUAUGUGGUGCAAAUAUUUUCUUCCGGUUUGUGGGUUGCCUUUUUCUAUUUUUAACAAUCUCUUUAGAAGAGCCAGAAGUUUAAUUUUUAUGAAGUCCAAUUUAUCAAUUUUUUUCUUCUUUGGUUUCUUUCUUAUUUAUUUUUCUAUCUAAGGAACAUUUGUCUACCUGAGAUCUCAAAAGAUUUUCCCUAAUGAUUUCUUCUAGAAUCAUUAAAGUCUAUGACCCAUUUCAUUUUUGUGUAGGGUGUAAGGUACAUACUCAUUUUUUCCCCAUGGAGAGAUCUAGUUGUUCAACACCAUUUUUUCAAAAGACUUCUAUUCCCCAAUGAAGUGCCUUGACACUUUUCUUGAAAAUAAAUUCACACUUACAGAUGUGGGCAAAAUAAUACAAGUUAUAUUCAAAUACCUUAGCUGUAAAUCUCAGUAAGAUACCCGUGUGAAAGAGUAGGCUAAGCAUUAAAAAUAAUUUAUGUAGUUAUGAAUCUCUAAUUUGCUUCAAAUAGUUUCAACUGUUUCUUUUUUAUGUCUAUUCCAAAAUGAAUUAAGUCAUUCUCUUUGACUCUAAAACCUCAUGAAUGGCAACAUCCAUAUUAUGAUAGUAGAAAUCAUUCUACCCAUCGCUUAAAUGUAUAAGAUUUCUGGUGAAGCUAAGCCUUGUUCCAGAUAUUUGGGUUUCGCAAUGUUCACAGAACCCAGAAUUUUCUUUAAAUGUAAAUACACUCUGAAGUGAUACAAAAUGAAAAAAUAAACAACUCUCAAUUUUUCUAAAAAAUCCAGACCUAUACUAUCGAUACAAUAACCAUAAUUUAACUUCCUCUAUUAGGAGUGCCCAAAUAUGCCAACAGGCAAUUCUGAGACAAAGACAAGAGAGAGGAAAA